rnacentral:rRNA from 1 species
UGGGGAAUAUUGCACAAUGGGCGCAAGCCUGAUGCAGCCAUGCCGCGUGUGUGAAGAAGGCCUUCGGGUUGUAAAGCACUUUCAGCGGGGAGGAAGGCGUUAAGGUUAAUAACCUUGUCGAUUGACGUUACCCGCAGAAGAAGCACCGGCUAACUCCGUGCCAGCAGCCGCGGUAAUACGGAGGGUGCAAGCGUUAAUCGGAAUUACUGGGCGUAAAGCGCACGCAGGCGGUCUGUCAAGUCGGAUGUGAAAUCCCCGGGCUCAACCUGGGAACGGCAUUCGAAACUGGCAGGCUAGAGUCGUGUAGAGGGGGGUAGAAUUCCAGGUGUAGCGGUGAAAUGCGUAGAGAUCUGGAGGAAUACCGGUGGCGAAGGCGGCCCCCUGGACAAAGACUGACGCUCAGGUGCGAAAGCGUGGGGAGCAAACAGG